rnacentral:miRNA from 1 species
CUGGCGGCCGGGGGAGGGGGAGU